AUUGAACGCUGGCGGCAGGCCUAACACAUGCAAGUCGAGCGGAUGAAGGGAGCUUGCUCCUGGAUUCAGCGGCGGACGGGUGAGUAAUGCCUAGGAAUCUGCCUGAUAAUGGGGGAUAACGUCCGGAAACGGGCGCUAAUACCGCAUACGUCCUGAGGGAGAAAGUGGGGGAUCUUCGGACCUCACGCUAUCAGAUGAGCCUAGGUCGGAUUAGCUAGUUGGUGGGGUAAAGGCCUACCAAGGCGACGAUCCGUAACUGGUCUGAGAGGAUGAUCAGUCACACUGGAACUGAGACACGGUCCAGACUCCUACGGGAGGCAGCAGUGGGGAAUAUUGGACAAUGGGCGAAAGCCUGAUCCAGCCAUGCCGCGUGUGUGAAGAAGGUCUUCGGAUUGUAAAGCACUUUAAGUUGGGAGGAAGGGCAGUAAGUUAAUACCUUGCUGUUUUGACGUUACCAACAGAAUAAGCACCGGCUAACUUCGUG
rnacentral:rRNA from 1 species